UACGAGAGGCCCAAACGUUAUUCGGAAUUACUGGGCUUAAAGAGUUCGUAGGCGGCAUGAAAAGCAGGGUGUGAAAGCCCUCGGCUCAACCGAGGAAUUGCGCUCUGAACUGUCGUGCUUGAGGACCUAGAGGUGAGCAGAACUGAUGGUGGAGCGGUGAAAUGCGUUGAUAUCAUCAGGAAUACCGGAGGCGAAGGCGGCUCACUGGGGGUUUUCUGGACGCUGAGGAACGAAAGCCAGGGGAGCGAACGGG
rnacentral:rRNA from 1 species